UUUAUAAAAACAUUUGUUGGGUUUUAUUCUGGCUCCGAGUGAACGCUGGUAACAUAUUUUAACACAUGCAAAUCGAACGGAAGUUUUUACUUCAGUGGUGACCUGGUGAGUAAUGUAAGAGAAGUGAAGUACAGAUAAGGUUAAAUUCCUCACUUCACAUUUAGUGGAAGAUUUAUAUCGUCUGUAAUAGAGCUUUUAUAGGAUUAGGUAGUUGUUAUAGUAAUUAUUUAACAAGCCGACGAUGCUUAGCUGGUUUGAGAGAAUGAUCAGCCACAUUGGGACUGAAAACGGCCCAAGUCUUCUAAAAGGGCAGCAGUGGAGAAUAUUUGACAAUGGGCGAAAGCUUGAUCGAGUAAUGUUACGUGGGUGAUCAGAAGGCUUAAUUGCUGUAAAACUCGUUUCGUCAAGGAUUAUAAUGCAAUCGUACUUGAAGGAGAAGCCCUGACUAACUUCGUGCCAGCAGUCGCGGUAAUACGGAGAGGGCUAGUGUUAUUCGCAUUGACUGGGUGUAAAGGGCGCGUAGGUGGCUCGUUAAGUUUCAAAGCAAAUAUUAAACAUAGCGUUUAAAAACUUUUUAAUACUAACGGGCUAGAGUUUAUUAGAAGGUAGCUGAACAUUAAGUGUAAAGGUGAAAUUUUCCGAUAUUUAAAGGGCAUGCAAUAGGCGAAGGCUGCUACCUAUUUUAAUACUGACACUGAGGCGCAAAAGCAUAGGUAUCAAACAGGAUUAGAGACCCUGGUAGUCUAUGCCCUGACCGAUGAAUAUUAAUUACGUUUUUGAAAAAUGUGAUUUAGCUAACGCGUAAAUAUUCCACCUGAGUACUACGACCGCAAGGUUAAAACUCAAAGAAACUGACGGAAGAUUGUAUAAGCGGUGGAGUAUGUGGUUUAAUUUGAUAUAACGCAAAGAAUCUUACCAACCCUUGAAUACAAGUAGAUAUUUUUCAGUAUUCCGGCAACGGGAUGACUGGCGUAUUUGUAGGUUUUUUUUUAUUUAAUAAAAAAAAAAAAUACAGACUUGUACAGGUGCUGCAUGGUUGUCGGCAGUCCGUGUUGUGAAAUGUUUUGUUAAUUCAUUUAACGGACGUAACCUUCAGUUAUAUUUGUUUAAAAAAUAUAGCAAUAUUAAUUUUCUAAAAUUAAUUGAGAGAAGAGGAAGUCAAAUCAUUAUGGCCUAUAUAGGUUGGGCUACACACGUACUACAAUGGUAAUCACAAUGUGAAGCAUUGGUGUAAGCCGAAGCGAAUCAUUAAAAAUUUAUCUUAGUUCAGAUUACUCUCUGUAAGUCGAGAGUAUGAAGUCGGAAUCGCUAGUAAUCGCAGAAUAGAAUGCUGCGGUGAAUACAUUCUCAAUCUUUGUACACACCGCCCGUCACGCCAUGGGAAUUGGUUUGGUUUGAAGUUUUAUAGGUCCAAUAUUUGUUACUUUUUAAUUCUUUUUAAAUUUAGCAGUAUUGGUUACUAAUUACGACAACUAGAUUAAGGACUGGGGUGAAGUCGUAACAAGGUAGCGGUAGGGGAACC
rnacentral:rRNA from 1 species